rnacentral:rRNA from 1 species
UACGUAGGAUGCAAGCGUUGUCCGGAUUUACUGGGCUUAAAGGGUGCGCAGGCGGCCUAUUCAGUUAGUGGUGAAAACGUUCGGCUUAACCGGAUACCCGCCAUUGAUACUGAUAGACUUGAGUGCGACAGAGGGUGUUGGAAUGUGUGGUGUAGCGGUGAAAUGCUUAGAUAUCACGCAGAACACCAAUUGCGAAGGCAGAUGCCUAUGUCGUAACUGACGCUGAGGCACGAAAGCGUGGGGAGCAAACAGG